rnacentral:rRNA from 1 species
AAGUCGUAACAAGGUCUCCGUAGGUGAACCUGCGGAGGGAUCAUUACCGAGUUAGGGUCUCACCGGCCGAUCUCCAACCCUUUGUCUACUUGACCAUCGUUGCUUCGGCGAGCCGUCCUCACGGACCGCCGGGGGGUCUUUGUACCCUUGGCCGCGCUCGUCGAUAGCCCCAAAUUUAAAAAAUCUUAACUAAACGUGUCUUGAAUCUAAGUAUUAUUGUUAAAUAAAAACAAAACUUUCAACAACGGAUCUCUUGGUUCUGGCAUCGAUGAAGAACGCAGCGAAAUGCGAUAAGUAAUGCGAAUUGCAGAAUUCCAGUGAGUCAUCGAAUCUUUGAACGCACAUUGCGCCUUUGGUAUUCCGAAGGGCAUGCCUGUUCGAGCGUCAUUAUCACCCCUCAAGCCUCGGCUUGGUGUUGGACGGUUUGGUGGAGACCCCCUCGGGUGGCUUCUACCCUCCCAAAGACAAUGACGCGGCCUCGUUGGACCCCGGUACACUGAGUUCUUCACGGACACGUAUCGGACACAUGGGUUUACGGGACACGGUCUGCCUCCCUCAGGGAGAAUCUUUUUUUAUCAAGGUUGACCUCGGAUCAGGUAGGGAUACCCGCUGAACUUAAGCAUAUCACGGCAG